CCUACGGGUGGCAGCAGUGGGGAAUAUUGGACAAUGGGCGCAAGCCUGAUCCAGCCAUACCGCGUGGGUGAAGAAGGCCUUCGGGUUGUAAAGCCCUUUUGUUGGGAAAGCGGUACCCAAAGAAUAAGCACCGGCUAACUUCGUGCCAGCAGCCGCGGUAAUACGAAGGGUGCAAGCGUUACUCGGAAUUACUGGGCGUAAAGCGUGCGUAGGUGGUUGUUUAAGUCUGUUGUGGAAGCCCUGGGCUCAACCUGGGAAUUGCAGUGGAUACUGGGAGACUAGAGUGUGGUAGAGGGUAGUGGAAUUCCCGGUGUAGCAGUGAAAUGCGUAGAGAUCGGGAGGAACAUCCAUGGCGAAGGCAGCUACCUGGACCAAACUGACACUGAGGCACGAAAGCGUGGGGAGCAAACAGGAUUAGAUACCCUUGUAGUC
rnacentral:rRNA from 1 species